rnacentral:lncRNA from 1 species
GAAAAUUUAGUCUUAAACAAAUCUUCGAUACUUCUGAUCUCAAGAUUUUCAGUGGGGAGCAAUACUGGGUGGUUGCUGUUUUUCUAGUGCAUGUCCUGGUGUGGUUCACUGCCUAUAAACUACUUAUUUAACAUGGCUGUGAUGAAUUAUGUUACUGCCACUGCUUCAAACGCCUAACUAAACGUAUUAAAGCUGGGAUUCCCUUUUCAGCAACAGCACUGAAGCCUUAUGCCUACAUCUACAGCUAUUCUUAGGCUUACCUAAAACCCCCAGGAAGUAGAAGCCCUAAAAUAGGCUCAUUGCUUUUUAUUUUUUUUCAACAUGAAAGAAGUUUGGAAUAGAAUUGACUCCUCUGUUGAGCUUUAUGCUUAAUUUCCAACUUUUUAACUCUUUACCACAGUGCUGCUUUUCUUCCUCCACGUCCAGAAGUAAUGGAGGUCAAGUGAAUGGCUUCUACUUCCUUGUUGCAGUGCGGGGCUCUAGCAAUGUAACCUGCCUGUUGAUUCACAUCUGCAGUUACUGCUGGCUGGGUAAGUGUAUGCAAGCUCUUGUUGGUUAACAGUGUGUAUGUUGUUGACCUUGUCACCUUUUCUUGCUACAUACUUAUUUCCAAAGCCAUCAACUUUCUUAGCUACUAAAAUAUUUCUUAUGGUUGGAAGUACCAGGUAUGCUUUCCUUUAAAAACAAACAAACAAACAAAAAACCACCUCCCCUCCAUCAAACUACAUAUUAGUCACAUUUAUUCCCCCCUGCUUUGGGUCAAUGCUGCUCAGAUUGUGAGAUGGUGAAAUGACAACUGAAGCAUGAGGUUUUCUGGAUUUCUAGCAUAUGCAUGAAAUUAUGUAGAUCAAUCAUGGAUUCAAGAGAAAAAUAAGGCAUGGAGAUUAUGCAGCAGCAUAAUCCAGAUAAAAAAGGUAAAGCUUUAGAAUUGUAAUGAGGUGUGAGUUACAUCAGUAUACUCCAUUAUGGAUGGCUUGAGUGUAAUAUAAAACUGUCGGGUAAUCUUCAUUAAAC